rnacentral:rRNA from 1 species
CCUACGGGUGGCAGCAGUGGGGAAUAUUGCGCAAUGGGCGAAAGCCUGACGCAGCGACGCCGCGUGAGGGAUGAAGGUCUUCGGAUCGUACACCUCUGUCAGCAGGGAAGAACGGUCACUGUGCUAAUCAGCAGUGAAUUGACGGUACCUGCAAAGGAAGCAACGGCUAACUCCGUGCCAGCCGCCGCGUUAAUACGGAGGGUGCGAGCGUUAAUCGGAAUUACUGGGCGUAAAGCGCUCGUAGGCGGUAUGUCAAGGCAAGGGGGAAAUCCCCGUGCUCAACGUGGGAACUGCCUUUGAAACUGGCAAACGUGAGUGUGUGAGAGGAUAGUGGAAUUCCAGGUGUAGGAGUGAAAUCCGUAGAUAUCUGGAGGAACAUCAGUGGCGAAGGCGACUAUCUGGCACAUAACUGACGCUGAGGAGCGAAAGCGUGGGUAGCAAACAGGAUUAGAUACCCUAGUAGUC